rnacentral:rRNA from 1 species
GCCCAGACUCCUACGGGAGGCAGCAGUGGGGAAUAUUGCGCAAUGGGGGAAACCCUGACGCAGCAACGCCGCGUGAGUGAAGAAGUAUCUCGGUAUGUAAAGCUCUAUCAGCGGGGAAGAAGGAAGACGGUACCCGACUAAGAAGCCCCGGCUAACUACGUGCCAGCAGCCGCGGUAAUACGUAGGUGGCAAGCGUUAUCCGGAUUUAUUGGGUGUAAAGGGCGUGUAGGCGGGAGCGCAAGUCAGAUGUGAAAACUCAGGGCUCAACCCUGAGCCUGCAUUUGAAACUGUGUUUCUUGAGUGCUGGAGAGGCAAUCGGAAUUCCGUGUGUAGCGGUGAAAUGCGUAGAUAUACGGAGGAACACCAGUGGCGAAGGCGGAUUGCUGGACAGUAACUGACGCUGAGGCGCGAAAGCGUGGGGAGCAAACAGGAUUAGAUACCCCGGUAGUC